GCAAAACGUCGGAUGAUCGCGAAUUAGUCCAGAAAUGGACUAAUUCGAGGAAAGUCCGGGCUCCAUUGGACAAGCUGCCAGGUAACGCCUGGGCGUGAAGCAAUUCACGACGGACAGUGCCACAGAAAACAAACCGCUUCCUUCGGGAAGUAAGGGUGAAAAGGUGGGGUAAGAGCCCACCGCGCUUCUGGCAACAGGAGCGGCAUGGUAAACCCCAGUCGGAGCAAGGCCAAGCAAGCGGCGAGAGUGUCCAUCUCGAUAAAGACGCCGCGGGUAGGCCGCUAGAGGGUGCGGGUGACCGUACUCCGAGAGAAAUGAUCGUCCGGACAACGAGAGUUGUCUGACAGAACCCGGCUUAUAGACGUUUUGCCACU
rnacentral:RNase_P_RNA from 1 species